GGUUCUGCAAAGGAACAGAUGCCGUUAGACCCAACCGUCUAACUCCACUUAGACUGUAGGAGAUGAGCAGGAACACGUGCACCACCUGACAGGCAGGUCCUUCCAGUUCACUGCAUGAUCCAUGAAGAAGCCUGAGGAGAAAACACACAAACGUCAGCAGAACGCGGAGCUUCCUGCAGAACCGGAAGAAGUCUCACCUGCCACCCCAACCUCUCCGGUACCAGCCAGGCUCAGGUCCGGGAAACGGGCCGGAUCCAGUGAGUAGACCUGAGAGCGGUGUGCGUUUGGCUGCAUCCCACACCCUUCCUGGAGAGAAUAGAACCCACUGCAGCGUCAGGAAUGACUUACAUCCACAUCACUGCAGUGUUCAGCCUUCAAACAUUUUUUUUUAUAUUAAUUCACUUAAGUGUAAAAAAACAAUCAUCACUUAAAAAAAAAAAGAUUUUUGAGAAAACAUUUUAUUUAUUGUGCUGUAGUUCUGAACAUUUCAUAGUUCUACUCAGGCUAGGAGGUCUUUCUUCUACUGAAGAGCAUGAACAUACUGAACAUAUUUUGGCCCGAAAUUUCAAGAACACUGAGGAGAAGGUCACAACCUCUGGGUUUUAGAACCCAAUCAAAGGGUAAUAAAAAUGGGCGUUAAAAAGUUAUUUUUUUAAUGGUUUAAAAAGGUUAAAGAAAAUGAUUUAAGUGAACUGACUCCACUGUGAAGCAUGGUGGCGGCAGCAUCAUGCAUCAGAGCUGUGAAUGUUUAGAACAGGCUGAAACUAUCUUGUUUGAAGCACUUUAGCCAUUAAGGCCAGUUUCUAGAAACAGUACAUAUUUUCUUAACUACAGAGUUUUUUUUAACCUUUUUAUUUGUUAAUUUUCUAGUACUUACAAACACCGCCCCCUUCAGCAUGUCAGGCACCACCAUGGGGAUGAAGCCCUGCAGAGAAGAUGGAGUCUGAUAACUCUACAGGAAGCUUCCAUACCCGCCGCUGCAGAGUGUCCAGGGCAAAGUUCUGGAGAGCAGUCUGAAGUCUGGCCCCCGCCCCUCUCAGGUAGUAG